AUGAAGAGUGGUCAUGGAGCCUACACCAUUAUAUCUUCACUACGAUGUCAUGAAGAUGCUAAUCUUAUCUAGCCUGUAGUCAAAAUGUGUGGCAUCACAUUAGCUAAAGAUGCAGAAAUCGCCAUGGAGGCAGGAGCUAAAUUUAUUGGCAUGAUACUUUGGCCUAACUCCAAGCACUCUAUUGCAUUAACAGAAGCAGAAGAAGUAUCUAGAGUAUCACAAUAUUAUGGGGUUGAAUCAGUUGGUGUAUUUAUGGAUGAUGACGAAGAGAAAGUACUAAGAGUGUCUGAUUCAUGUGACCUUAAUCUAGUCCAGCUCCAUGGAGAUAAAUCCCAUGCAUUGCUUCGUGUUCUCUCAAAGAAUAAUCGUAUCGUUUAUGUCCUAAAUGUCAAUGAUGAUGGCAAACUUAUCAAUUCUUAUCCUCAUGAAGAAUAUCUACUUGAUUGGUUCUUAGUGGACAGUGCGAAGGGGCGAAGGUUAGAUUUGGUUAUUGCUUCUCUAAUGAGUAUAAAACUGGCUCCCCUAUCCUAA
rnacentral:rRNA from 1 species